rnacentral:rRNA from 1 species
AAAGUCGUAACAAGGUUUCCGUAGGUGAACCUGGAAUACGAUAAUUG